AGCGUGGAGACAGGUGGUGCAUGGCUGUCGUCAGCUCGUGUCGUGAGAUGUUGGGUUAAGUCCCGCAACGAGCGCAACCCUUGCCCCUUGUUGCCAUCAGGUCAUGCUGGGCACUCUAGGGGAACUGCCCCGGUUAACGGGGAGGAAGGCGGGGAUGACGUCAAGUCAUCAUGCCCCUUACGCCCUGGGCUACACACGUGCUACAAUGGCCGGUACAAAGGGAUGCAAUACCGCGAGGUGGAGCUAAACCCAAAAAGCCGGUCUAAGUUCAGAUUGGAGUCUGCAACUCGACUCCAUGAAGGAGGAAUCGCUAGUAAUCGCGUAUCAGCACGACGCGGUGAAUACGUUCCCGGGCCUUGUACACACCGCCCGUCACACCACGAAAGCCAGCUGUACUCGAAGUCGCUGAG
rnacentral:rRNA from 1 species